rnacentral:lncRNA from 1 species
AAAUGAAAACAUGAAAAGUUAAAUUGAUAGAUAAAAUAAAACUAAUAACAUUUUACAAUCCAAGAAGGAAAGAUGUGAGCUUUAAGCAUCGCGUAAGUAAUCCUAACUAUAAAUCACCAAGAACUAACGCUCAUGCUCAUCUAUGGAGAAAAUGAGAUAAAGUGAGAACUCUAGUGCUGUUAACCCUAGCUGGAACUUGGUCGCUCAACUCACGAUGUAAAAUUUCAGACCCCUAUAAGUUGUCUUUGUCAUAUCCUAUCAGCGCCAAACAUAUUCUUUAUUCCUUGUACUGCCAAUCGUUGGUGCCAACUCAUAGAACUUACUCAUUAAGCAAUGAUAAGAAGGCCCCCAUGAGUUCGUACAAUAGUACAACCCGACCCGUGAUCUGAUAUGUUACAUCUUCAUAUAUCUUCAAUCAUGCAUCUUCAAUUCCACGUUGUAGCUCCCGAGAUCUCUAGUGCCAUUCUUCAGCGUGUUCCAUCAAACAUCCAAACUAAGCAUUAUUAGUUCAAAAUGAUCAAAUAACACUAAAAAUUAAUUAAAACCAUAAAUUUAUAAAUAGUCACUGAUUAGAUGCUUUGGACCAUGCAUUCACUCAAUUUCUCGUUCAUUGUGGGGAGUAUGUGUAACACCCCGUUACCCAAAUGUAAUUAAAUAACACUUAUUCAUCAGAGUUAAGCACCAAACGGGCAUGCUACAUUGCAGAUUCAAAAUUCCUUAAAUAGAAAAUAAAACUAUUUAACUCAACAUCGUUCAUAACUUCAAAAAUAAUGCAGCGGAAAGUUUGCAUUUAAUAAACAUCAACAGUUUAAGUCUCCAACAACAUUUUGGCAUUAAGCCUAAUCAUCAACAAGUCAACCAACAAGGGCCACAUUAACAAGUUCCAAAAUUUGAUACAUGGAAAGGAAAACAACAAUAAUAUAAAUAAUAAUUUCCAUCCCACUUAUCAGAGCCCUAGACACGACAUUGAGCCACCACCAACUACUCAGGGUCACCUGCAAGUUACCCAUAGGAAGGGCAACAUUUUCAAGCAGAAGGGGUGAGAUUCACAACAAUAAAUAUAGAUAUUAAUUCUUCAAUUGAAUCUAACACCCUAUAAAAUCAAAUACAUCAUCUUGCAAUUAUACAUAAUUAAUUCACAAGCAACAACAACAUCAUCAGAAUCCACUCAUCAAGUAUGUAUACAAUGUACAUAUUUACCAACAACACCAUCAUCAUCAAUGUAACAAUUACAAUCAACAACUAAGACUCAUGCAAACGACAUGACAACACUGCUAAGACAACACCUUAGACACCUCAAAUAUGCAAAUAUGCAUGUGGUACCAAACAGGACCGAAGCCCUCACCGCUUUUUAAUGGUUAAAGCAUUCAUCAGGACCGAAGCCCUCACCGCUGUUGAGCAACUAGUACUCCAGGACAUGAGUCCUCUCCGCUGUUUUAUGCAUAUGUGUUAUCAUGGUUUUUGGGUGCCAAGCCAUUAAUUGGACUUGAACCUCUUGACCGUUGAUAUCCCUCUUUUUUCUCGGGAAGGGUAAAAGGAGAAAAACCCUUGAGUUUCCGGAUUCGGGGGUCGUUUUCGCUACGGGAAGGUGUUAGGCACCCGGAGCGAUUAUGGUAUUCCAUAAGAACCGCUCUCCUAAGUUUAUUUCUACGCUUUAGUUUUAUUGCUUAUUUGUAAAAAAAAGGAAAGUGUGAUUAGUUAAGAAUGGGGGUGAGAAGAAGUAGAAUUUAAUUUUAUUUCGGCUUGGAUGAGUUUUGACUCAUUGCCUACGUACCGUUUUACGGGAUCAAAACCGGCGUAGUUCUUGCUAAAAAGACUUGUUUUUUGUUUUAAUUGUUUGGUUUUAAGUUUUGAAAAUGGUUUUGAAGAAGGAAAUUGGGAGGCUUCAUGAGCACUAGAUUUAGCAAAAAAAAUGAGGUUUGAUUAGUGAUUAAAAAGAAAGUCUAAAUGAUUAAGAUGAAUUGAAUUUUUCUUAAGAAAAAAAAAAAGAAAGGAAAAAAAAAUGAAGUGUUGACUUCAUAUUUAUUAUGAAAUUUUUUGAAGUGAAGUUCAAUUGUUUUUUCUUUAAAAAAGGAUGGAUUUUCUCUAAGUGUUUAAACCUAAACGCUUAUCUAACCAUACAAUCCUAUGCAUACAUCUAAGGUGAGUGUGUGCGUGUCGGUGCGUCAUAGUAUCCAUAGUCCAUAUUACAAAAAUUGCCUAAAUACAUUCUAUGGCCUCUUUGCCAAGCUACAAACCAAUGGUAACAAAUUACAUCACUAAAUGGAUUAAAACUUGCAAAAAUGAAUACUAAACUAAAGGAAGUGAAGGAGAUAGUGGUGACAUGGAGAAAUGCUCAUGAAAUGAAUGGAACAAAAGAAAUGAGGUGAUUAGUAAAAUAAAGCAUNGCACAUUCAAUAGCAAUAAAACAAUGAGUAGCACCAGUAUCAAUAAUAGCAAUUAAAGGAGUACUAUUAAAGAAACAAGUACCUCUGAUAAGUCGGUCCUCAUUGGUAGUCUGUGUACCAGUCAAUGCAAACACCUUCCCACUAGUUCUAGCCUUCUUCGGCUCAGGACACUGUGAACUAAUAUGACCCUCUCCAUUGCAGUUGUAGCAGACAAUGUCUCCACGCUUGCAUUCAGCUAAAUUGUGACCCUUCUGACCACACCUGAAGCACUUCCUCUCAUCUUUACCAUAAACAUUGCUCUUGUGGCCUUUCUCACCACUCUUGUAACAAACAAUCUCAGCAGGAGCAUCUCUCCUCUUGGGCCUCCUAUCAUCACCCAUCUUCUGCUUUCCUUUGUCAGCAGGAGCAAUGUAAGGCUUAGGACGAUUCUGUUGUCCCUUACCCCUCCUCUCACUCAUUAUCUUGUAAUGAGCCUUGGUGUCUUCUUCAUAAAUCCUACACCUGUUAACCAACUCAGAAAAGACUCUGAUCUGUUGAUACCCAAUAGCUCUUUUGAUGUCAGCCCUCAAACCAUUUUCAAAUUUGAUGCACCUGGAGAACUCAACUGUCUCCACACUGUAAUGAGGGUAGAACUUAGCAAGCUCCACAAACCUAGCAGCAUACUCUGUGACGGACAUGUCACCCAGUUUCAACUCCAGAAACUCAAUCUCUUUCUUACCUCUGACAUCCUCUGGAAAAUACCUGCCCAGAAACUCCUUCCUGAACAUAGCCCAGGUUACCACAACAUCAUCCUGCUCCAACACAGGCAACAGACUCACCCACCAGUCAUCAGCCUCCUCCGCUAACAUGUGCGUCCCAAACCGCACCUUCUGUGUCUCAGAACACUACAUGACCCUGAAAAUCCUUUCAAUCUCUUUCAGCCAUUUCUGAGCACCGUCAAGAUCAUACCUACCCUUGAAUGUUGGUGGAUAAUUCCUCAAGAAAGUUUCCAGCAUCCUGGUUCCAUCACUACCAGCCUCAGUCUUAGGUUGCUGUUGGACAGCUUGAGCUACAGCCUCAAGCGCAGCAACAAGGGCAGCUUCACUACUUCCAGUCAUCUCGAAGUUCUACACGAGAAACAACAACUCAGAACAACAACAAAAAGAAACAUAAAAGUUGACACUCUAACCUAGGUGGCUCAACACGACUCUACUACUUGGCCGGACGGACCAACCUGCUCUGAUACCAAAUUGUAACACCCCGUUACCCAAAUGUAAUUAAAUAACACUUAUUCAUCAGAGUUAAGCACCAAACGGGCAUGCUACAUUGCAGAUUCAAAAUUCCUUAAAUAGAAAAUAAAACUAUUUAACUCAACAUCGUUCAUAACUUCAAAAAUAAUGCAGCGGAAAGUUUGCAUUUAAUAAACAUCAACAGUUUAAGUCUCCAACAACAUUUUGGCAUUAAGCCUAAUCAUCAACAAGUCAACCAACAAGGGCCACAUUAACAAGUUCCAAAAUUUGAUACAUGGAAAGGAAAACAACAAUAAUAUAAAUAAUAAUUUCCAUCCCACUUAUCAGAGCCCUAGACACGACAUUGAGCCACCACCAACUACUCAGGGUCACCUGCAAGUUACCCAUAGGAAGGGCAACAUUUUCAAGCAGAAGGGGUGAGAUUCACAACAAUAAAUAUAGAUAUUAAUUCUUCAAUUGAAUCUAACACCCUAUAACAUCAAAUACAUCAUCUUGCAAUUAUACAUAAUUAAUUCACAAGCAACAACAACAUCAUCAGAAUCCACUCAUCAAGUAUGUAUACAAUGUACAUAUUUACCAACAACACCAUCAUCAUCAAUGUAACAAUUACAAUCAACAACUAAGACUCAUGCAAACGACAUGACAACACUGCUAAGACAACACCUUAGACACCUCAAAUAUGCAAAUAUGCAUGUGGUACCAAACAGGACCGAAGCCCUCACCGCUUUUGAAUGGUUAAAGCAUUCAUCAGGACCGAAGCCCUCACCGCUGUUGAGCAACUAGUACUCCAGGACAUGAGUCCUCUCCGCUGUUUUAUGCAUAUGCAAUGGACCUACUUGUGUAUAUCUACAUACAACUGACCAUGCAAUGCAAACUCCAUGUGACACCACUUAACAACAUGUAUGAUUCAAUAGUUAGCAUACAUUUCAGUCAUCAAUAACAAUCAACAACCAAUAGAGAUUCAACCAUCCAGAAUUAUGCAUAAUUAAAUAUAACUAUGCUUAAACAACAACACUCAAUCACUACCAUUCAUGCAAGCAAAACAACACUCAAUAAUGCACAGCUCGCCUCGCGAGCACAUCUGCUCGCUAUGGCGAGUUCACAAAAACACUUGCUCGCCAUGGCGAGUUCAAGGCGAACUCGAGGCGAGUGAAAAUUAGGUGCUCUCGGGAAAAAUGACAUUUUCUCACUCAAACCUCAAUUCUAAGCUCCCUAUUCAUCUUUUUAACCUAGAACUUGUUCCAGUCUUCAUUAAUGUCAUCUAGGUACCUUAAACCAUCCCCAAAACAGCUUAUAACAACAUUUCGAAAAUCAAGUUUUGAACUGGCUUGCUCGCCAUGGCGAGUUGGUCUGCUCGCGAGGCGAGCCAUGAUAUUGUUCACUCGCGAGGCGAGACAUGAAUGCUCGCGAGGCGAGCGAUGAAUAUCAGUACGGGCAGAAAACAGGUUUUUCCCAGAAAUCCCAUUUUUCUUCCAAUCACUCCCCAAAUCAGUUUACAGAUACAUAAUUAAGUGUUCUAUGCGACCAGAACCUAAUUCUAACAUCAAAAUCACCCUUACAACUCCAAAAUCCUCAUUUUAUCAUAAAACCCCAAAAUCCCCAAUUUUCACAAAACCUGUUAAACUCAAAAUCAGAAAUCAAUAACUACACUAUUGAAGUAAACCUCACCCUUACCUUAAUUCAGAAUGAAAAAUGCACAGCAAAUGGAUUCUCUGGGUUCUACUUGCUUUUCUCUCCCUUUUCUCCCAACUUAACAGUUUUCACGUACAAAGCUUCUGACAUCUAAUUCCUAACUUCCCUCUUACUUAACUCUCUAUUAUUUCCAUUAGCUCCCCAUUAAUUUUAAUAAUUAUUAAAUAACUCCCCAAACUCCAAAAUAAUUAAUAUUUCAUACUUAUUCUAAUUAUUAUUAAAAUUAAACCAUAUAGUAAAACAACACACCACAUAAAUCACCAAAAAUCAUAUAUAUAAAUAUAUAUAGACUCCACAUAAAACAAGAUAAUUUAAAUAUAACAACUAAGGCGUUACAGUAUGCAAUGUCAUAACCUACAAAUUUAUCGGUUACCACAUGCCCAUGGGAGAAAAACAACAAGAAACAAACAAACAAUAUUAAACCAACAAAUGUUUAGAGACGUUAAAAGCUUAAGUUGCAACCAAUGCAAAGCUUAAUGUGUACUUGUUUUGAAAUUCUACAAACAUUCAAACCUAGUUUGUUCCAAAGCAAUAAAUCAUUAUGUUACUUGCUUCUCCAAUUAUGUACCUCAGAACUCAUGAGGGGAAGGGGGUGAGAGUAGAGGAUUUUUAUAGAGAAUAAUAAAGGAACGUUUAUGAUUAUUAUAUUUUUAAUCUUGAGAGUAUUAUAACAUAAAUUUGAUUUCGAGAAUUUGUUCAAACUCUUCCUCCAACAUAAUUUCUUCCAAAGCCCUCAGCUCCCAAAAUCCUUCGUUAUUUUCACUUAAACAUUUCUUCUUUCAAAAUCCCCCCAAUCCCCUACCGAAGGGGUUUUGAAUUUAAAUGUGAAAUAACGACAUAUUAUGUGAUCAUAUAAUACUUUAAUCAAAUUUAAUUGAUUUUAAAAAAACAUUUAUAGUAUUUGUAACUUAAACAAGGAAAGUAAAUCAUCCCUUCUUUCCCUCGUAAGCUCCAAAUCCAUACAUACCCUUAAUUGAAUUAGAUUCUACCACCAUAAUUCGGAAAUAAUAUAUAACAAGACUAAUUUUAAAAUUAUGGUCUACAAUAUCAAUGGAAUCCAUAUUCACAGCCUACGAAGCACCGACACCAGACACGAGAUCAACAUUAACACGUUGACAUUGAUGUUGGACAUUGACAUAUAUAAGACACCAGACACACAUUUAAUCAAAGGUGUCGGUGCUCCAGAGUUAACAACAUUGACAGUUACAACAAGCCUAACAAACAAACCAACCUGCAUAAUAUCAACAUAUACACUAUCCAAGUGAUCAUAGUUGAGGUUUCCUAAGUCAGCAAGGUGACCAUCAACAUUGCAUCGACAUCAUUAUCCGCCGAAGAUAAAAACAAACCACACUACUCAUCAAUUUAAUCACACAAACUAAAAUAUAAAAUGAAUGAAAAUAGUAAAGAAAAGUAUAUUGACAGGAACUUCAGCCUCGUUGUCAGAGAGUUAGUCGAGGUUAGCAAGAGUAGCCUAGAAUUAUAAAUGAACGAAAAUGGAAUGGUUAAGAAAGUGGUGACAAGAAGAUGUUGAUAUGGAACAUCAAUGUCUUGGGGAGAAAGAGAGGAAAAGUACCAUACAUGUUUAGGAAGACAUAGUGGUUGAUGAAGCUAUAAGUGGAAGGAAGACAGAGUCACCAAAAUCUAGGUUGAUGAAGGAGGAAGCGAAGAAGGUGAAGGUCACGGGCAAGAGAGAAGAAGAGCGAAAAUAUGUUUUGUUUGUGG